rnacentral:rRNA from 1 species
UAACGAAUCUUCCGCAAUGGGCGCAAGCCUGACGGAGCGACGCCGCGUGCAGGACGAAGUCCUUCGGGAUGUAAACUGCUUUUAGGGGAAGGGAAUUCUGACCGUACCCAGAAUAAGCCACGGCUAACUCUGUGCCAGCAGCCGCGGUAAUACAGAGGUGGCAAGCGUUGCUCGGAAUCACUGGGCUUAAAGGGCAUGUAGGCGGCCGAGUAAGCGUCUUGUGAAAUCCCCCGGCUUAACCGGGGAACGGCUCGACGAACUGCUCGGCUCGAGGGAGACAGGGGCGACCGGAACUCUGGGUGGAGCGGUGAAAUGCGUAGAUAUCCAGGGGAACGCCGGUGGUGAAAACGGGUCGCUGGGUCUUUCCUGACGCUGAGGUGCGAAAGCUAGGGGAGCGAACGGGAUUAGAUACCCCUGUAGUCC